GCACAAGCGGUGGAUGAUGUGGAUUAAUUCGAUGCAACGCGAAAACCUUACCUACCCUUGACAUGUCCGGAAUCCCGAAGAGAUUUGGGAGUGCUCGCAAGAGAACCGGAACACAGGUGCUGCAUGGCUGUCGUCAGCUCGUGUCGUGAGAUGUUGGGUUAAGUCCCGCAACGAGCGCAACCCUUGUCAUUAGUUGCCAUCAUUUGGUUGGGCACUCUAAUGAGACUGCCGGUGACAAACCGGAGGAAGGUGGGGAUGACGUCAAGUCCUCAUGGCCCUUAUGGGUAGGGCUUCACACGUCAUACAAUGGUCGGUACAGAGGGUUGCCAACCCGCGAGGGGGAACUAAUCCCACAAAGCCGAUCGUAGUCCGGAUCGCAGUCUGCAACUCGACUGCGUGAAGUCGGAAUCGCUAGUAAUCGUGGAUCAGCAUGUCACGGUGAAUACGUUCCCGGGUCUU
rnacentral:rRNA from 1 species